UACGAAGGGGGCUAGCGUUGCUCGGAAUCACUGGGCGUAAAGCGCACGUAGGCGGGUCUUUAAGUCAGGGGUGAAAUCCCGGAGCUCAACUCCGGAACUGCCUUUGAUACUGGAGAUCUUGAGUCCGGGAGAGGUGAGUGGAACUCCGAGUGUAGAGGUGAAAUUCGUAGAUAUUCGGAAGAACACCAGUGGCGAAGGCGGCUCACUGGCCCGGUACUGACGCUGAGGUGCGAAAGCCAGGGGAGCGAACGGG
rnacentral:rRNA from 1 species